rnacentral:lncRNA from 1 species
CGCAGAUGUUUCCAGCUAAUGUUCAGGAGGAACCCACAUGUGAGAGAGGCAGCCCAGUGCCCAUCCUGGCCAUCAGCGCCAGCCAUGACCUCUCAUGGGCAGUGCUUCCCCUCGCGCUCAGGCGCCACCUCUCCCAUUUUGGAAACCUGGUCCGAAUGGCACCAUCCACUGGACAUUCCCCAAAUCAAGAUCAAAAGGGCCGGCUUGCAAGUGAACUCACCUGGAGCAGACAUGGAGCCUCCCUUGUGCCUUCCCCUUGCUCAGGUGGAAUAUCUAGAGCCCCACGAGGCUGAAACAGAUGCUCCGGCUCCAUGUCCAGAACACCAUGGGCCUGCUCUGCAGCCAGAGCCAGCACCAGAGAAAGAGCCUCCUCUGGAGACAGGAGAGAAGCAGAAGCCAGCUCCACAGCACUCCUGCCUCUCUGCUGCCGCUGACAAGGACAGGUCCUUGCAGAAGGUGCUCUUAGCCUUCUCUCCCAAGCUGCUGGCAGAGCAGCUGACCUUGAUGAG